AGUUACCGAGAAUGGAGAGAAUUGGAGCAUGGGACAGAGGCAGCUGGUCUGUCUCGGGCGUGUGCUGCUCAAGAAAAGUAAGAUCCUAGUGCUUGAUGAAGCUACGGCAUCAGUUGAUACAGCUACCGAUAAUCUGAUUCAGACAACCUUAAGGGAGCACUUUUCUGACUGUACAGUCAUAACAAUUGCACACCGGAUCACUUCUGUUCUUGACAGUGAUCUGGUUCUGCUUCUAAGCCACGGUUAGCACGGUUGUGUUAUCUAUCAUUUGCUUGUAGGAUCCUUUGAACUUCAUUUCGUUUAAAACUAUGUUUAACUGUCGCAGGACUUGUCGAAGAAUACGAUUCUCCCGCUAGAUUGCUGGAAAACAAGUCUUCAGCUUUCGCACAGCUUGUAGCCGAGUAUACUGUGAGAUCAAAUUCAAGCCUGGAGAAGUUCGACUGAAUUAGAUGAUCACGAAAAAUAUAUGUUUGGUACUCAUUGGGAAUGUUUUGUACAAGACAAGCCUAGUAGUGUUCUUGGCUUCAAUAAACACUAGUUGUAUAUUUUCCUUUUCUCUCUUCUAUCAGUCUGCCAUUAUUAAGUUACAAAGAAUUUUUAAGACAUAUGUUCGGGCAAUUAGACGUUAACAAAAUUAAUGUAAAAAAAUUGUCAAAAACACGUGCGAAGAAAAAAAGUUUAUUAAUAUAAAGUCAACAAUUGGGUGGUGGGCCUUCACACGUCCAUUAAUGGGGCCCAUUUCAAAAAGAGAGUGUCCAGAUGAGUAUCCCCCAAGUUUUCGUUGUGAGCAAUGAGCAUACAAGUCGAAGCAAAACUGUGGGGUUUCAGUACGGCGCCGUUUUAAUUGUCUCUUUCCGGUUUUUGGGCAGACGGGCUGGAUUUGAGUCUUCGGUUUGGUUCACCGCCAGGUGUCAAUACAAUGACGGUUGGAAAUUCCAACGGUUUUUUGUUAGAGUUUCCCGGGUUUUUUUUUGUUCCUACUAAUUUACUAUUUUGUGGUUUGAGAAAUAUUUUAAAAUUGUUUUAAAUUUAUUUAUAAUAAAUAAAAAAGACCUUUGAUACCCACAAUUAUUAUUGUUUUGAGUUAUUUUCAAAUUAACCAACGAAAAUAAUUUUUGCUAAAAAGGGUCAUUAAUAUUUUUUAAUGAGUAAAAAGGGUCAUUAGGUUUAAAAUAAUAAUAAAAGAAUAUUUUUUUAUUUAUUUCUAAAAAUUAUUAAAAUAAUUAAAACUUAGCAACUUUUAACAGGUUCAUAGGAUCAGAUUAUGAUAAUCUUCAUGGAUAAAUGAAAGAAAAAUUAAUUCUUGAAUUAAAAAACAAAGGUUUGUUUUUUUCUUUGUUGAUAAUGCAAAAGUUCUGGUAAAAAUUUCAUUGCAAAAGAGGAGUUUUUUUGGGUUAAUUUCUAUUUCCCUCACUACAGAAUCACUCUCACUCUCUAUAUCUCUUCAGCUGUGUGUCUCUUAUGUUUUGUCUCUCUCUCUCUUUCAAAGAUCAAAACUUUCUCGGAAAGCCUCCAAGUUUUUUGUUUUUGGUCUCUCUUUUGAGGCUUAAGCCUCCCUUCCCUUUGCUCUCAUGCCGUCUCUCAAGUCUUGGUCUCCACGCAUAUCCCUUCCCCAAGUAAUCUUCCUUUGACUCUCUUCUUUUGUGUCCCUGUCUUGACUGUAACACUCCUUUAAGUCUCGUUUAUAUAUAAACUCAAAAACAAGCAAAAGUAUCUUCCAACAACACUGUAGUCCAAAAUUUUUCUUGAGUAAAAAGUCCAUAAAGAAUGAAACUUUUUGCUUCAGAAUCAUCUUUGCUAAUGAGUUCAGCUUCUAGUUUUCAUUUUCUCCUAAAACCCAUGUUUCUUCAUGGGCUUUCUGCUUCAUUGCACCUACUUUUAUUGCUUUUCUUGCUAGUCUUAUGGUUUGUGGACAGAGUUAAAGAAGCUGGCAGGGAAGGAUCGAAGGAAAGGAUAAGGCAAAGGAAGGUUUUAUGGUAUAAGCAAACUUUAGCUUGUUGUUUUAUUGUUUCAGCUUUCAACACUGUCUUGUGUUUGUUAAGUUAUUUUUAUUGGUAUAGAAAUGGUUGGUCUGAGGAUAAGUUAGUGACUCUUUCUGAUUAUGUGGUAAAAACACUUGCUUGGGGUGCAACGUGUGUUUAUUUGCAUUAUCAGUUCUCCCAUUCUGGUGAACAAAAGAAGUUCCCAUUUUUAUUGAGAAUUUGGUGGGGUUUUUAUUUUUCCAUUUCUUGUUAUUGUCUUGUUAUAGACGUUGUUCGUUACAAAGAACAUGUUUCUUUCCCAAGUCAGUAUUUAGUAUCCGAUGUUUUUUCUGUUAUUACUGGUUUGUUCCUAUGUAUUGUGGGGUUUUUUGGAGGAACUGAAGGUGAAGAUACCCUCCUUGAGGAGCCCCUUUUGAAUGGAGAUUCUAGUGUAGGUAAUGGUGUAGAGUUGAGUAAGAAAAAAAGAGGUGAUACUGUAACCCCAUAUUCAAAUGCUGGUAUUUUCAGCAUUCUUACAUUUUCUUGGAUGGGGCCUCUUAUUGCUGCUGGCAGUAAAAAACCUUUAGACCUUGAGGAUGUUCCUCAGCUAGAUAGCAGUGAUAGUGUUGUUGGCGCUUUUCCAAAUUUUAGAAACAGGCUCGAGUCAGCUGACAGUGAGGGGAGUGGAGUUACCGCGUUUAAGCUGGUGAAGGCACUGUUCUUCUCAGCUUGGAAAGAUAUUCUUUGGACAGCUUUGUUAGCGUUUAUGUACACUGUGGCUUCAUAUGUUGGCCCAUAUCUCAUUGACACUUUUGUUCAGUACCUGAAUGGGCAGCGGGAGUUUAAAAAUGAGGGGUAUCUUCUGGUUAUGGCUUUCUUUGUUGCAAAGCUAGUAGAGUGCUUAUCUCAGAGGCGCUGGUAUUUUAAGUUGCAGCAAGUAGGAAUUAGGCUGAGAGCAGUACUGGUAGCAAUGAUUUAUAACAAGGGUCUAACCCUUUCGUGCCAGUCAAAGCAGAGCCACACCAGUGGGGAGAUCAUCAAUUUCAUGACUGUCGAUGCAGAGAGGGUGGGUGAGUUUAUUUGGUACAUGCAUGAUCCAUGGAAGGUAGUUUUGCAAGUUGCUUUGGCGUUGUUGAUCUUGUAUAAAAAUCUUGGACUAGCAUUCAUUGCAACUUUUGUUGCAACAGUGCUUGUUAUGUUGGCAAAUAUUCCUUUGGGGAAAAUGCUAGAAAAGUUUCAGGAUAAGUUGAUGGAAGCUAAAGAUAAAAGGAUGAAGGCAACAUCAGAAAAUUUGAGGAACAUGAGAAUUCUCAAACUUCAAGGGUGGGAAAUGAAGUUUCUGUCAAAGAUUAUUGGGCUCAGGAAUGUUGAGGAAGAAUGGUUAAAAAGAUUUGUUUAUACAAGUGGCAUCACUGGUUUUGUUUUCUAUGUUGCACCCACAUUUGUGUCUGUAGCCACUUUUGGUGCUUGUAUUCUUUUAGGAGUCCCACUUGAAUCAGGGAAGAUCCUAUCUGCACUUGCAACAUUCAGGAUUCUUCAAGAGCCAAUCUACAGUCUUCCUGACACAAUUUCAAUGAUAGCUCAGACAAAGGUGUCUCUUGAUAGAAUUGCUUCCUUCCUUCGCCUUGAUGACUUGCAGCCUGAUGUUAUAUGGAGGCUUCCAAAAGGUAGUUCUGAUACUGCAAUUGAGAUUGUUGAUGCGAAUUUCUCUUGGGAUUUCUCUUCUGCUACUGGAACGCUAAAAGACAUAAAUUUGAAAGUUUUCCAUGGUAUGAGGGUUGCUGUUUGUGGUACAGUUGGCUCUGGCAAGUCGAGUUUGCUUUCCUGUAUUUUGGGGGAAUUACCCAAGAUAUCUGGAACUCUUAAAUUGUGUGGUACAAAGGCCUAUGUUGCUCAGUCGCCUUGGAUACAAAGUGGCAAGAUUGAAGAGAACAUAUUGUUUGGCAAGGAGAUGGAUAGGGAGAGGUAUGACAGAGUGCUUGAAGCUUGUAGCCUCAAUAAAGAUCUUGAAAUCCUCUCAUUUGGUGAUCAGACCAUUAUAGGUGAGAGGGGAAUCAAUUUGAGCGGUGGGCAGAAGCAAAGAGUACAGAUUGCACGUGCUUUAUACCAAGAUGCUGAUAUCUAUCUCUUUGACGAUCCAUUCAGCGCUGUGGAUGCGCACACAGGAUCUCAUUUAUUUAAGGUAACAUCUUUUCUUCUCUGAUACGAUGGCAUGUAGUUUAAAAGUUACUUUGAAUCUAUGCAGAAAGCUAUACUGCUCUAUCUACGGUAAUUAAUUGAACUACUAACAUUUGCACUUUUGUCAGCUGCUUAUUUGAGCUUUCUUCUUCAGUUGGUGCUUUGCCUGAGUAAUUGUUUAAUCUUUGAAUGAUAGGAAGUUUUACUAGGCAUUUUGAGUUCAAAAACAGUGAUUUAUGUCACUCAUCAAGUUGAGUUUUUACCAGCUGCUGAUCUAAUCUUGGUAAGCUAUUUACAUUUUCAGUGUUUUUAAUCCUACUCCUUGGAGGGUAGGCAAUAAUAUAACUACUGGAUUCAACUUGUACAUUUUUGUUAGGUCAUGAAAGAUGGCAGGAUUACACAAGCUGGAAAGUAUAAUGACAUUUUCAAUUCAGGAACUGACUUUAUGGAACUUGUGGGUGCACAUAAGAAAGCUUUGUCAGCCCUUGAUACUGUUGAUGCAGGAUCUGUUUCUGAAAAAAAAAUCAGUGAGGGAGAUGGUACUACGGGAUGUGCUAAUAGGAAAGUGCAGAAAGAAGAAAAGCAAGGUAAUGGGAGUGGUAAAGUAGAUGAUGUCGGGCCAAAAGGACAGCUUGUUCAAGAAGAAGAGCGAGAAAAAGGAAAAGUUGGGUUUUCAGUCUACUGGAAGUAUAUCACAACAGCAUAUGGGGGAGCUCUUGUGCCAUUAAUAUUGCUUGCGCAGAUUGUCUUUCAGAUUUUUCAAAUUGGUAGCAAUUAUUGGAUGGCUUGGGCAUCUUCCGUGUCUGCAGAUGUCAAACCUCCAGUUGGGAGCUUUACACUAAUAAUUGUCUAUUUAGCUUUGGCCAUUGCUAGUGCCUUUUCUGUCCUUGCCAGAGCCAUGCUUCUUCGUACAGCUGGAUACAAAACAGCCACUCUUCUCUUCAAAAAGAUGCAUUUUUGCAUUUUCCGUGCCCCUAUGUCUUUCUUUGAUUCCACACCAAGUGGAAGAAUUCUAAAUAGAGUUAGUAUCGAAUGUUUUCCUGUAUGGAUUUUAAACAUUCUAUUUAUCUUUUUUUGGGGGGCAUUCCUUUCUUGGUUUUGAAGGAUUCUAUUAACGUCCUGCCUCUUUUAGGCUUCUACAGAUCAAAGUGCAGUGGAUUUGAACAUUCCAAAUCAAGUUGGUGGAUCCGCCUUUUCAGUUAUCGGGCUCCUGGGAAUCAUUGCAGUCAUGUCUCAAGUUGCUUGGCAGAUCUUUAUCAUUUUUAUCCCUGUGAUUGCAACCUGCAUUUGGUAUCAGGUAACUCUUAUAACCUCAUGUGAUAUGCUGUCUGUCAAAUUGUGGCUAUGGAAUGCUUAACCUCAUAAACUUGUAACCAUGCAGCUAUAUAUUGUAAAUCUCGAAGUCGUUUGAAAAAGCAUUCAACCUUGCAUAAUACUUGGACAUAGGAAUUCUCAUAAACUUGUAAUCUUGCAGCAAUAUUACAUAUCUUCUGCACGAGAACUUGCACGAUUGGUUGGAGUAUGCAAAGCUCCAGUGAUACAGCAUUUUGCUGAAACAAUUUUAGGAGCAACAACUAUCAGGAGCUUUGAUCAAGAAUCAAGAUUCCAAGAGACAAACAUGAUACUAACUGAUGCAUAUUCUCGUCCAAAAUUUCAUGCUGCUGCUGCAAUGGAAUGGCUGUGCUUCCGCAUGGACAUGUUGUCUUCUAUUACUUUUGCCUUCUCUUUGUUCUUUUUGAUCUCUAUACCAGAGGGAGUUAUUGAUCCAGGUAAGUGAUUGCAGAUUGGCAUCUUUAUUGACUGACAUGUCAUUGUAGAUAACAGAUGUUAAAGGAGAAUGACUGAUAGUAUUUUCUUUUGUUUAGCCAUUGCUGGUUUAACUGUGACGUAUGGACUCAAUCUAAAUAUGUUGCAAGCUUGGGUAGUAUGGAAUAUUUGCAAUAUGGAGAAUAAAAUUAUAUCUGUUGAGAGACUGCUUCAGUACAGUAGUAUUCCUAGUGAGCCUGCCCUUGUGAUAGAAACUAAUCGCCCGGACUGUUCUUGGCCAUCUCAUGGAGAAGUUAAUAUUCAUGAUCUGCAGGUAAUGCAGUUAUGCGGUGUUUAUGACUCAAAGUUGUUAUGUGUUGUUUUUGAAAUAAAUGAUGAUGUUCGAUGUAGGUGCGGUAUGCUCCACACAUGCCACUCGUCUUGCGAGGUAUGACAUGCACAUUUCCUGGAGGGUUGAAAACUGGCAUUGUAGGGAGAACAGGGAGUGGUAAAACAACUCUCAUACAAACACUUUUCCGCAUAGUUGAACCUGCAGCGGGUCAGAUUGUAAUUGAUGGUGUCAAUAUCUCAUCAAUUGGACUGCAUGAUUUGAGGUCAAGACUCAGCAUUAUCCCUCAGGAUCCUACCAUGUUUGAGGGGAAUAUACGGAGUAAUUUGGAUCCUCUUGAAGAGUACACAGACGAACAGAUUUGGGUGGUGGGUUCAUUUCAUUUUGAUUACGAGAGAAAAGCUUUUCUAGUCUGUACCAUUUAUUUUCUAAUAAAAUGCUGUGUAUAUGGUUGGUAUUUGAAGUCUGAUAUGUGUUGAUCUACGUUUCGAUUUUUUAAGGCAUUGGAUAAGUGCCAACUUGGGGAUGGAGUUAGAAAGAAGGAAGGCGGGCUAGAUUCUUCAGGUCUGAUCUUCUAUCAUAUAACAUACAAGUCGGAUGUCAUGCAAGUUGUUUAAAAUCUACUACUAAAUUCAACUGUUUAAAGAAAUGUUGAAGUAUUAUAACAUUGCUUCUGCAGUUACCGAGAAUGGAGAGAAUUGGAGCAUGGGACAGAGGCAGCUGGUCUGUCUCGGGCGUGUGCUGCUCAAGAAGAGUAAGAUCCUAGUGCUAGAUGAAGCUACGGCAUCAGUUGAUACAGCUACCGAUAAUCUGAUUCAGACAACCUUAAGGGAGCACUUUUCUGACUGUACAGUCAUAACAAUUGCACACCGGAUCACUUCUGUUCUUGACAGUGAUCUGGUUCUGCUUCUAAGCCACGGUUAGCACGGUUGUGUUAUCUAUCACUUGCUUGUAGGAUCCUUUGAACUUCAUUU
rnacentral:lncRNA from 1 species